AUCAAUACUUCCCCUGUAGCUUAUCACUAAUGUGGAACUGGCUGUUUGUCCAAACCCUGCUCUGUCUACAUAAAGACUUGGACGGGACAGCAUCAAACCCAAAUGCACCACAUAUCACCACAUGAACCUGCAGCUCUGAAGGCACCACUGGACUUUUAACUGUUUGGAAAGACUCUGAGACAAAGAUACCCCGGUGUGAGAGGGAACGAGAAGAGAAAAGAGAGUAGCUGGAAGAAUCGGGAGCAGGAGAGUGACCCCUGAGUAUGAAUGAAUCUAGAGAGAGGAUCCACUUUAGAAACUUGAGGUUGUCCGUCCACCAGUAUGUAUUAACAACCUCUCCGUCUGCAACAUCUACAGUAAAUGCUGUCCUCCAGAGCUGUGGAGUGUGACAAUGGUGUUUGUGUCCUCUGUAUCAAACGCCAUUAUCACACUAAAUAGCUACAGUGUGAAAAGGACCUCAAUAUAUUCCUCAAUUUCCUGGUUUGCCUGGUUGGGUUUUGUUUUUCUUUUGUCAUUUGUUGGUUUUGUGGCUUCUUUCUAAUAGUUUCUAAUAGUUUCCUGAUUCAUAAAGCCUGAAAAAAAUGUCCUCAUCUGCUGCUAGUGCCUAUAGUAUAGGAACACAUUACACCACGCAGGAGGGGCAGAGAUGAAAAUAGAUCUGCAGUGUGUUGAUAUGUCGUACAUGAUCUUGAGCCUCAGAGUGUGACCCACUUACUUUUGCGUUUGAGGCGCUAAUUUGCUGCUGGAGACCUUAACCUGUAAAUAUAGAUAUUGACAUGCUGCCAACUUUUUGCCAACAUGUAAGCAGGUCAGGCACUAGUGUUAUAUGUUUUGCACAAUUGUCUUCAUCCAUGCAAAUAACAUGAAUAAACAGUGUUUGUUUUUGUCUCUUGCUAAA